UACGGGGGGGGCAAGCGUUGUUCGGAAUUACUGGGCGUAAAGGGCGCGUAGGCGGCCCGCUAAGUCGAACGUGAAAUCCCAGGCUCAACCUGGGAACUGCGUCCGAUACUGGCAGGCUUGAAUCCGGGGAGAGGGAUGUGGAAUUCUCGGUGUAGCGGUGAAAUGCGUAGAUAUCGAGAGGAACACCUGCGGCGAAGGCGGGUUGCUGGGCUGAUACUGACGCUGAGGCGCGAAAGCUAGGGGAGCGAACGGG
rnacentral:rRNA from 1 species